rnacentral:rRNA from 1 species
UACGAGGGGGGGCAAGCGUUGUUCGGAAUUAUUGGGCGUAAAGGGUGCGUAGGCGGUUUGGUAAGUCUUAUGUGAAAUCUACAGGCUCAACUUGUAGUCUGCAUGAGAAACUGCCGGGCUUGAGUAUGGGAGAGGUGAGUGGAAUUCCUGGUGUAGCGGUGAAAUGCGUAGAUAUCAGGAGGAACACCUGUGGCGAAAGCGGCUCACUGGACCAUAACUGACGCUGAUGCACGAAAGCUGGGGUAGCAAACAGG